UACGUAGGGUGCAAGCGUUAAUCGGAAUUACUGGGCGUAAAGCGUGCGCAGGCGGUUGUGCAAGACAGAUGUGUAAUCCCCGGGCUCAACCUGGGAACUGCAUUUGUGACUGCACGGCUGGAGUGCGGCAGAGGGGGAUGGAAUUCCGCGUGUAGCAGUGAAAUGCGUAGAUAUGCGGAGGAACACCGAUGGCGAAGGCAAUCCCCUGGGCCUGCACUGACGCUCAUGCACGAAAGCGUGGGGAGCAAACAGG
rnacentral:rRNA from 1 species